rfam:Triticum aestivum genome assembly, contig: Triticum_aestivum_CS42_TGACv1_scaffold_400358_5AS
CAAGUACUCCCUCCAUCUGGAAUUACUUGUCAUCAAAAUGGAUGUGUCUAGAACUAAAAUACAUCUAGAUACAUCCAUUUCAAUGACAAGUAUUUUCGGACGGAGGGAGUACAAG